rnacentral:tRNA from 1 species
GCCCUCGUAGCUCAGGGGAUCAGAGCGCGCGCCUCCGGAGCGCGAGGUCGCAGGUUCGAAUCCUGCCGGGGGCACCA